rnacentral:rRNA from 1 species
UACGAAGGGGGCUAGCGUUACUCGGAUUGACUGGGCGUAAAGGGUGCGUAGGCGGCGCGGUAAGUCGGGUGUGAAAUCUCGGAGCUUAACUCCGAAACUGCAUUCGAUACUGCCGUGCUUGAGGACUGGAGAGGAGACUGGAAUUUACGGUGUAGCGGUGAAAUGCGUAGAUAUCGUAAGGAAGACCAGUGGCGAAGGCGGGUCUCUGGACAGUUCCUGACGCUGAGGCACGAAGGUCAGGGGAGCAAACGGG